AUGCUCUGGGCGUCAUACUCGAUACACAUCAGGGUUGAAUUGCCUGAUUACUUUGUCCUCACAGUGGGAUCAGCCCAGCCAAGACGCAUCCAGUGGCAGGCAGUUUCAGAAAAAGGGUUUCCCACCAUGUCGGCCCGUGAUUGUCCACCGGUCCAUCAUCGUGGCAGCCUGCACUGGGCAGUGGGCCUCAACAUCACGGUAUUUGAUCCCGUAGCCGAGACAUUCCGGCACAUGAGCCGCCCAGAGCAGUUGGGUGAUAUGGUGUCAUUGUUGGAUACUGUCGGCGGCGCACUCGCGUUGUGUCGCACGGAUUGUACCUACGUCACUUUGGAUGUUUGGGUGUUGCAGGACUAUGAUGCCGAAACCUGGGGCUUUCAGUACCAUAUUAGCUUGUCAGCGAUGGUGGCAUCGCCACCGCUUGAUUUGAGGGUCAAAUAUGUCCCUAGGAUGGCUGUGAUCAAUGAGCAUGAGCUGGUUAUCGAUUAUCCUACCAGUCUGCUGCAUUGUAACAUUGAUGUUGUGUUUAUAGGAAAUCUAGAAAGCGAAGAGCAUGGAAACUACUUGAUGCUCACUCGGCAUCGUCUCCAAGAGAGCAUGGUUUCACUUCCAUUGUUUGAGAACCAAGAAGAAGAUGGUGUGAACAAGGAGCCUCCGUUCCUCAUAGUGCUAUAA
rnacentral:rRNA from 1 species